rnacentral:lncRNA from 1 species
GGUGAUUUGGGCUAGGCAAUCAAUGGUUCAGGCAAGAUGACUAGCAAAAGGGAAAUAUGAGAUGACUGAAAAAUUGGCGUUUGGGACCAAGUGGUAUAAACAUGAUAUGGGACAUGCGAGGUCUGCUUGUCCAAAUAUAUGAAUUAACAGGGUAGAUGAAGAGCAUACAUGCAUUAUUAUCAUUGAGACGAUAUUUGGUUGUGUGAUUGCAGUCACUUAAUAUAGUUAUAUCGAUUUAUUGUGGUAAGGUUUAUGUCCCUACGGAGUUGUAGUUUCGCUCACCCGUUCAUAGACCUUGCUGGUUUAAAACGAAAAAGACGGAUGGUAGGCGAGCUGAGGUUGAAUUAGAUGCGAGUUGGCAUAUGCUUUUUAUUUUUAUUUUUAUUUUUUUUUCUAGUACACUUGUAAGAUUUUGAAGCAACUUUAUAAGAGAAGUUUAUUUUAAACCAUGUUUCGGUCUUUCUAUUUUACUUUAUUUUCUCAUGACGCGAGAUUUCUUCCAACCACUAGGUCCGGGGUGUGACAGGAAACCAUAAAUUGGAAAAUUUAAUAAAGAAAUGAAGUAAUGGGAAUUAGCUCAACUAGUCCCUUUAGUUAACCUCAUCUCUGAUUUUGAGGGUAUUGAAUUAAGAAUACUGACGUGAAAUCUGUUGUGCAGAACACUCAAAAACCUUGUUUUCGAUAGACAAUACGACACAUACACAAAAAACUGCAAGAAGAAUAAACACACACAAGAACAUAGAUAAAGCAAACAUACAAGAACACAAAGAUUUGUAAGAGGUUUGGCACCGUGCAUAUGUCCUCUUUAGUGACUCUCUUGAGAAAUAUCACUAGAAGAAUAGGAAUAACUUUGGUAACAAUGAAGAACCCCCUCUAUUCUUUCAAACCCUAGGUCUUAAUUUCUC